UAAAGUCUGCACUAAGUUAAAAGCUAAAACAGGAAGGAAGUUAUCACCACUAUGGUAGAUGGGAGUGCUUCAGUGACAUGUGCUUGCUUUUAAGAAAAUCAGAACUCUUCAGAUUAGUACUAGGAAUAAUUACCAUGGUUUUUUUCUGUUUACCUGAAUUUUUCAAAAUCCAUGAAGCUAACACUGUAAUUGUGUCAUGUGUAGAUACCUGUUCAUCAAAUAACACCAGUUUUCCACUUUGUACUUUUAACAAUUCUUGCAAAAGAUCAGUGCAUCAAGGAAGAGAAAACCAGACUAUUUUACUGAAGGCCAUUGUAAAUCAUUCCAAUUUCCAAAAUGUUCCAUGUAUUUGCCAGUCCUCCAGGAAGGAACAACAGUCUCAUACUAAACACACGGAGUGUGAAUCCAACAGAGAUGUGAAUGUUGAUCGCAAAGGAUCAGGGUCAGUAGCUGAAAAAAUUCCAAAAGAAAAAGGCUCACUUGAAGUGAAAACAGAAGAUGUUAUUUAUUUUUAUAAAUAUUUUAAUUUCACUACGGUUUCCGAGAAAGAAAAAGUGGAGUAUAAUACUUACUACCUGCUGGAAAUCCACAUCAACAAUUCUACAGUCGGAGGAAGAAAUGCAGCCGAAGAAUACCUAAAUCAUUCCUGUCUAGUGGCAAUGAUGGAAGACCAAAAUGAUUGUAUAAAUAUUUCACUGCAACUGAAGUCUUAUGUGGAAUAUCCAAUGUGUAUGUCGAAGAUCAUUUGGCUCACUAUGAUUCCAGUAGUUUUUGUGUUUACUAUUUCAAUCGUCAUCUACAAAAUAGUCCAAGAAAAUGAACAAAACUAUCGUAAACACAGAGUAACAGCGAUUUCUACUGUUCAAAGAAGAAACAGUUCUAGACGUGCAAGAAGAACCAUAUCUGCUACUAAAAUUCAUCCUUUGCCUGUGAAAACCAGCAAACAACAGAUUCCACUGACUGCACAGUCCACAAAGAUACUGCCCAUAAUUCCUGAACAAGAGCAUUGUUGUGUGGGUGUAUCAACUGUAGAAGGUUAAAAGCUUGAGAAGGUCCUCCUUUACAUCUAUUUAAAUUGGAUGGAGUUUUAUUGACAACUCAAUAUCAUGUCCUGCUGUCUUUUUAAUGUGUUAAAAAAUUGAUGUACUGGAGUGGUUUGACUUUUGUGCUUCAUGUGGAACCAUAAACAAUGAAGAUGUAUGUUGAGAGCAGAGCUAAGAAGAUAUUUUGAACAGCAUUACUGACAAAAGAUGAGUUUCAGAAGUUGCCAUAUGAAAUAUGAUUACUAUUGGAUGAAAGAAGACGCAUCAUACACCACAGCAUCUCCAUUUCCGGUUUGUGGAGCUGUUACCUAUCUUUUCAUGAGAAUGCCAACUAUGCAUUUCAGUGGAGAAACUCCAUUUUAUCUAUCAUCAGAAUUAUUUGGUAUCAAGAAACUAUGAAUGAUGGACAAACAUGUUUUGCUGUAGAAUCAGCUUCAGUAGGAGAGUAUAUAUUUCACAUCUAUUUUCAGUUCAUUCAGGAUUUAUACUUACUCACAGGGGUGUGAGAUAAUCCUUGCAAUAAUUUCAUUUUCUAUCUGAGAAGACAUUUAUUUUGUAUUCUCCAUAGGAGAAGGAAGACUGUUUAAAGAUAGAAACGAUCCUCUACUUUCAUGAAACAAGCACAGUUUUCAGCUAUUCAAUGCUCUAGGUGACUAAGAUGCUUAAAAGGUACAAUUUCUGGCUGUUGGGGAAGGUCGUCGAAGGAUUAUAGGAGAAGAGAAUUCCGCAGUACAUUUUAAUUUCUGCAGUAAACCAGGAAGACCUUCAUAAAUUCUGCAACAUCUUAGUGGAUAAAAAAAAAAAUGUGGAAAAUAGUAAUUUGGCUUCAAACCACAAAAUCGUUAUUAUUGUUUUUUAAUAACUCAUUAAGACACCAAGUGGGUUUCGUACUUUUUGAUAAAUUGCAUUUCUAUCUUUUGUACUAGCUGAGGUCAUUAGUAUUCAGACUCAUUAUUUCCUGGAACUUUUCCUUAUUUUCCAUUUAUUACUGCUCCUCUGAGUGCAAUGGAGCUGUUUGGGCUGAGCAGGGUCCCAAACUUGCUCAGUGCUAACACAUUAUUUUUGGGUACAAUUUAACCAUCAAUUACUAGGCAGAGACAGAAAUUGCAGCACCAGGACUUCAAACUCCCUUGUGCUAAAUCCAUCAGGAUGAACAGAUUGUAAACUGCCCAUCACAUAUAUGAUAUGCAGCAAUUUAGUAUCAUGUUAAUACUUCAUAACCUCCAUCCCUUACAUUUAUAUAGCUUUUCCCUCCUGAAGCUCUCUGAAAUUGCUUCUCCAGUCAUUAUACUGCACCAAGCAGUUCAGAUUUAAUAGGAAUAGUUGUGAACAUGAGCUUCUGAAUGAUUUGAGGCCAUAUGGAAUUUUUUAUAUUUAGUUGGAUAAGUCUAAAGCAUUUAUUUCUAUUGUUUGUUACCAUUUUGUAAAAAAAUCAGAGAAAAAUACUCACUUUCUUGAUUUGGGGGCUUUUGAGGUUUUAUUGCUUAUCUGUGGCAAUAACUUAAAGCUUUUCAGAAAUGGAUUUUUUAAUAUAGUCUAUAAAGUAAACCUCUCACAAUUUGUUUCUGGUUGUUUUUUUCUUCUUGCUAUAGAACAGCAACUUACAGAUGAAGAAACAUAUCUAUCUCAAACAGCUGCAGAAUUGCUAAGGCCAUUUUAAUCAGUGUUUAAAUGCUUCAAAUGAUGGCACUAUCUAUCACUCUUCCCCUCCAGUAAUCCAGAGAUCUUGUUGAUAGGGACAGCCAUGCUCCUUGUGACCCCCAUUUAAUUUCCUUUCUCCUAUAAUUUAAUUCUAUUGUUCUUGCUGCCCAUAACCUCCCUCUUUUCUUUUCCUUGGAUGGCUAAACUGUGACUUACUAUUUUAUUAGCCCCAGUAUCCCACUGCUCUCCAAGUGUUUGGUUUUACUACGCUGGAAGGUUCUGUCUUUUGGGCUACCUUUACAAAACACCAAGAACUAAACCUAAGAGGCUCUUGUAAGAUUUUAAUCUCUGUUGAGUAGAGCUUACCUUGUCUUGAAAGUAUGAUCCAAACCAUGGGGAACAGUGGGAGAAUGGGGAGAUCUUGGUAAGAAUGGUAAGAAGAAAAAGUAAUCCUAUGAUAAUUCGGGUUGAAAGGGACCUCAGGCAGUCUCUAGUGCAACCUCCUUGUACUGAAGGAGGAAGGAGGGGACUAAAACCACCAGGUUUAGUGUCUUCCCAUUUUCUCCUAAGAUCCUCUUGGUUUUUCUCCUCCUGUGUCCUCUUAACCCCCUAACCCCUUGUCUUCAUCCCUGGCUUUUUCAAAACUGAACAUGUGAGGAGAGAAAGGAUGUCCUGGGGCAGCCUCUCAAGCACAAUGGGCAGGAGGGAAGAACCUCAGAAAGGAGAGGGGGAAGGAGACAUAAAGGUGGAGGAGAGUGGGGUGAACAAAACUGGUGGGGAAGCAGAACUGAUGGUGUACAGAAACGUGGGGCAGAACUAGUAGGGACGGCAGGUUUACAAGUCUAGCAAAUGGGUUGAGAGGCUUCUGGAGGUGUUUAGAAGUUGUUUGAAUUCCCCAGAGUUAUGGCUUUCCUUUGGGUGACACCAUCAGACUCCAGAAUUGGCCCAUUUUGUCAUAUGCCUUUCAGCCUCAACCCUGUAGCACUGAAGAGAAAUAGCACACAUUUGUUUGAGUAAUGUCUUCAUGCCUCCCUCUUUACAGCAGCAGCAAAUUCAGUUCACCAAGAAUUAUGAUUAGUCCUUGCUGCAGCUUUUUUAAACUCCUUUUGCACAUUAUUAUAGUGUUGCAUAAGAAAUAUUCCUUCACUCCUUGGGUAAAAUGUUUGAAAGGCAGAAUGAAUAGCUAGUGCUCUGCUCUGAGUCGGUUAGAGCACCCCCUCAGAAGACUGUACAGGGAAGCUGUGAAAAGGAGAUGAAAGUGGGGAGACUAAUAAGAAGUUCUUAGCCGAUGUG